rnacentral:rRNA from 1 species
AGAGUUUGAUCCUGGCUCAGGAUGAACGCCGGCGGUGUGCCUAAUACAUGCAAGUCGUACGCACUGGCCCAACUGAUUGAUGGUGCUUGCACCUGAUUGACGAUGGAUCACCAGUGAGUGGCGGACGGGUGAGUAACACGUAGGUAACCUGCCUCGGAGCGGGGGAUAACAUUUGGAAACAGAUGCUAAUACCGCAUAACAACAAAAGCCACAUGGCUUUUGUUUGAAAGAUGGCUUUGGCUAUCACUCUGGGAUGGACCUGCGGUGCAUUAGCUAGUUGGUAAGGUAACGGCUUACCAAGGCAAUGAUGCAUAGCCGAGUUGAGAGACUGAUCGGCCACAAUGGAACUGAGACACGGUCCAUACUCCUACGGGAGGCAGCAGUAGGGAAUCUUCCACAAUGGGCGCAAGCCUGAUGGAGCAACACCGCGUGAGUGAAGAAGGGUUUCGGCUCGUAAAGCUCUGUUGUUGGAGAAGAACGUGCGUGAGAGUAACUGUUCACGCAGUGACGGUAUCCAACCAGAAAGUCACGGCUAACUACGUGCCAGCAGCCGCGGUAAUACGUAGGUGGCAAGCGUUAUCCGGAUUUAUUGGGCGUAAAGCGAGCGCAGGCGGUUGCUUAGGUCUGAUGUGAAAGCCUUCGGCUUAACCGAAGAAGUGCAUCGGAAACCGGGCGACUUGAGUGCAGAAGAGGACAGUGGAACUCCAUGUGUAGCGGUGGAAUGCGUAGAUAUAUGGAAGAACACCAGUGGCGAAGGCGGCUGUCUGGUCUGCAACUGACGCUAAGGCUCGAAAGCAUGGGUAGCGAACAGGAUUAGAUACCCUGGUAGUCCAUGCCGUAAACGAUGAGUGCUAGGUGUUGGAGGGUUUCCGCCCUUCAGUGCCGGAGCUAACGCAUUAAGCACUCCGCCUGGGGAGUACGACCGCAAGGUUGAAACUCAAAGGAAUUGACGGGGGCCCGCACAAGCGGUGGAGCAUGUGGUUUAAUUCGAAGCUACGCGAAGAACCUUACCAGGUCUUGACAUCUUGCGCUAACCUUAGAGAUAAGGCGUUCCCUUCGGGGACGCAAUGACAGGUGGUGCAUGGUCGUCGUCAGCUCGUGUCGUGAGAUGUUGGGUUAAGUCCCGCAACGAGCGCAACCCUUGUUACUAGUUGCCAGCAUUAAGUUGGGCACUCUAGUGAGACUGCCGGUGACAAACCGGAGGAAGGUGGGGACGACGUCAGAUCAUCAUGCCCCUUAUGACCUGGGCUACACACGUGCUACAAUGGACGGUACAACGAGUCGCAAGCUCGCGAGAGUAAGCUAAUCUCUUAAAGCCGUUCUCAGUUCGGACUGUAGGCUGCAACUCGCCUACACGAAGUCGGAAUCGCUAGUAAUCGCGGAUCAGCAUGCCGCGGUGAAUACGUUCCCGGGCCUUGCACACACCGCCCGUCA